ACUACUCAUCAACCUGGUUUGGCUGGAGGAAAACGGUGGGGGAGAGAGAGAGAGAGAGAGUUCAACUCUAGAGAAAGGGUGAGCAAGAAAUUGAAGACAAAAGGAAGAAACUCAAAGCUUGAUCAAGAAACUCAACAAAUUGAAGAUUUUAGGUGGACGUUCGAGGCCUUAUAUCGACUUAACCCACAGUGAGCAAACUAAGCAAUAAGGAUAGAUAAAGCCUCGGAGUCUACCCGUGUCAGCCUUUUGAAGAGCUUCCGGAAUGGAGCAAGUUACGCUUGAGUAGAGCCAAGAAAAUUAGCCCUUAGCUUUUUCAGAGUUUUGUAUUUUGCUGAGUCUUAAAGGUAUAUGUGUGUGAGAUAUGUAAGAUUUGUAUUCGUAUAUAAUUAUCAUUGUAUCAUGUAGCUAUAAGCUCAAUGGACAUUUUUAUUUUUGCUUUGCUUCCGCUUGAGGCCCUGAUAUGAUUAUAAAUAUUUUGAAAUUUUGUCUUUGAGGCUGAAGGUAAUCUAGGAUUACUGGCCUAUCACGACGCUAAACCUAUAGAGAUGGGUCUGGGUCAUGAUAGAGUGGUAUCAGAGCACGAGUUAAUAUCUCAUGCACAUGUCCAUUGAGCAUUAGAAUGUCUAAAACAGAUUUAAGUUUCAUGCACAUAGUAGGUAAGUGAUGAGUUGUGCAUUUACAGAAAUGUAUGUGUGUUUGUUGAACAAUUUGAGUAUUGAA